GCGGGCGAAGAUCGUGUCGGUUCCCCGAAAGGGGAUUAAAACGGGAAUGCGGUGCGGAAGGUGGAACCCGUUUCCUCCGUCCAAAUCCGCAGCUGUCCCUGCAACUGUAAGUGGCGAGCGCGAUAUACAUGUGCGGACGGCAUGAAGACCGAUCCGCCAGCCACUGGGUCGGACGCAAAAACGUGCGAGGCCUGGGAAGGCCGUAUAUCAAGCGAUGACCCAUGAGCCAGGAGACCUGCCGGCGUCUGGUCGCUCUU
rnacentral:ncRNA from 2 species